rnacentral:rRNA from 1 species
AUUGAACGCUGGCGGCAGGCCUAACACAUGCAAGUCGAACGGUAACAGGAAGAAGCUUGCUUCUUUGCUGACGAGUGGCGGACGGGUGAGUAAUGUCUGGGAAACUGCCUGAUGGAGGGGGAUAACUACUGGAAACGGUAGCUAAUACCGCAUAACGUCGCAAGACCAAAGAGGGGGACCUUCGGAACUCUUGCCAUCGGAUGUGCCCAGAUGGGAUUAGCUAGUAGGUGGGGUAACGGCUCACCUAGGCGACGAUCCCUAGCUGGUCUGAGAGGAUGACCAGCCACACUGGAACUGAGACACGGUCCAGACUCCUACGGGAGGCAGCAGUGGGGAAUAUUGCACAAUGGGCGCAAGCCUGAUGCAGCCAUGCCGCGUGUAUGAAGAAGGCCUUCGGGUUGUAAAGUACUUUCAGCGGGGAGGAAGGGAGUAAAGUUAAUACCUUUGCUCAUUGACGUUACCCGCAGAAGAAGCACCGGCUAACUCCGUG